CCAAUAGCGUAUAUUAAAGUUGUUGCAGUUAAAAAGCUCGUAGUUGAAUUUCGGGGUUAGUACGCUGGUCGUGCCUUCGGUAUGUACUGGUGUUUCUGAUUCCUACCUUCUGAAGAACCGUCAUGUCAUUAAUUUGGUGUGGCGGGGAAUCAGGACUGUUACUUUGAAAAAAUUAGAGUGUUUAAAGCAGGCUCGCGCUUGAAUACAUUAGAAUGGAAUAAUGAAAUAGGACGUUCGAUCCUAUUUUGUUGGUUUCUAGGAUUGACGUAAUGAUUAAUAGGGAUAGUUGGGGGCAUUAGUAUUCAAUUGUCAGAGGUGAAAUUCUUGGAUUUAUUGAAGACUAACUACUGCGAAAGCAUUUGCCAAGGAUGUUUUCAUUAAUCAAGAACGAAAGUUAGGGGAUCGAAGACGAUCAGAUACCGUCGUAGUCUUAACCAUAAACUAUGCCGACUAGGGAUCGGAUGAUGUUAAUUUUUUAAUGACUCAUUCGGCGCCUUACG
rnacentral:rRNA from 1 species